rnacentral:lncRNA from 1 species
UAGGUAGUUAUGUUUUUUUUUUUAUUCAGAUACAAUAUUAUUUUAUUAUUUUAUGAUAGAUUAAGUAGAUUUUAUUUUUAAGACAGUUGAUAUUUUAUUUUUAGAUUUUAUUUUUAUUUUUGUAAUAUUAUAAGUAUCACAACUAUUUAAAGUCUUUCAAUUAUCAUUAAAUAACAGACUCAAUUUUAAGAAAAUAUUUGAGUGUGUAUUGUGAGGUUUUCUUAGGAGAGUGGGACUCUAUUUAUAAAACUAAGGAAGAGGAUGGUCUUGGAGUAAAGGAUUUGAGUUUGUUUACCAUGGCUUUAUAGGAUAAAUGGAAGUGGAGAUUAAGAAAAGGAACUAGUGGGUUAUCGUAAAGGAUUCAAAUCACGAGUCUUAGUGGCGGAUAGAUAUUAGGACUAUUUUUAGGAGUAGACAAAAAGACUUAAUUGGUUUGUUAGCAAUUGGAAAUGGAGCAUUGGCGAAGCCAAUAAAUAAAGUUUUGAGAAAAUAUGAGGA